CCAGGGAUGUUAACCUGGAGAACGGUCGUGUUAGGGCUAAUGUAAGGCUACGCUAAGCAGGGCUGGGCCUGGUUAGAACUUGGAUGGGAGACCCCUGAGAAUACCAGGUACCACAGUGGG
rnacentral:rRNA from 1 species